AAAAUAAUAAAUAGAAUAAUUAUAAAGAAUAUAUGUUUGCAUUCGUAUAAGAUUCGCCAUUGUUGCACUCACAACUGCUCACCGCUCACUGCUCGCCGGUAACGUAACCGCUUAACGCUCUCAUCACCACUGACCACUAACACUGACAACCACCAAUACCGACCACCACCACCACCACCACCACCACCACCAACCAAGCAACCUACUAGAUAGACAUAAGAAACACCAACCAAGCAACCAAGCACAACUCAACUUAACUCAACUCAACUCUGCUUUGAGCCUCGAAUCUCGACUCGACUCAACUCAACUUAUAUAUUUGGAACAAAGACAGCGCGCUCUUUGAUGACGCUUCUCACAAUGUCGUCAACGUUUUCAUUUGCAAAAUCCGAAUCUGAGCAAUCGAUUAGUACCAAAGCAUAUGAGUUUUUACCAGAAGGUGUCGACGCUAUCGACUUGUUUCAUGUUGUAAUUCAAAUACUUUCGGUAAGUACUUCA
rnacentral:misc_RNA from 1 species